rnacentral:rRNA from 1 species
AACGAACGCUGGCGGCAGGCCUAACACAUGCAAGUCGAGCGAGGUCUUCGGACCUAGCGGCGGACGGGUGAGUAACGCGUGGGAACGUGCCUCUUGCUACGGAAUAGCCUCGGGAAACUGGGAGUAAUACCGUAUGUGCCCUACGGGGGAAAGAUUUUAUCGGCAAGAGAUCGGCCCGCGUUGGAUUAGGUAGUUGGUGAGGUAACGGCUCACCAAGCCGACGAUCCAUAGCUGGUUUGAGAGGAUGAUCAGCCACACUGGGACUGAGACACGGCCCAGACUCCUACGGGAGGCAGCAGUGGGGAAUCUUAGACAAUGGGCGCAAGCCUGAUCUAGCCAUGCCGCGUGAUCGAUGAAGGCCUUAGGGUUGUAAAGAUCUUUCAGCUGGGAAGAUAAUGACUGUACCAGCAGAAGAAGCCCCGGCUAACUCCGUGCCAGCAGCCGCCGUAAGAC